GAUAAACGCUGGCGGCAUGCCUAAUACAUGCAAGUCGAACGGGGUUAGCGGGUGCUUGCAUUUGUUAACCUAGUGGCGAACGGGUGAGUAACAGGUAGGUAAUCUGCCUUACAGACUGGGACAACUUUUGGAAACGAAAGCUAAUACCGGAUAGGUCGAAAGAUUAAAGGCGCGUUUGCGCCGCUGUGAGAGGAGCCUGCCUCCGAUUAGCUAGUUGGUGGUGUAAGGGACUACCAAGGCGACGAUCGGUAGCCGGACUGAGAGGUUGAACGGCCACACUGGGACUGAGACACGGCCCAGACUCCUACGGGAGGCAGCAGUAGGGAAUCUUGCACAAUGGGCGGAAGCCUGAUGCAGCAAUGCCGCGUGAAUGAAGAAGUUUUUCGGAAUGUAAAAUUCUUUUAUUAAGGAAGAAAGGUAAGAAUAGGAAAUGAUUUUUAUUUGACGGUACUUAAUGAAUAAGGGACGGCUAACUACGUGCCAGCAGCCGCGGUAAUACGUAGGUCCCGAGCGUUAUCCGGAAUUAUUGGGCGUAAAGGGAGCGCAGGUGGUUUAAUAAGUCUGAUGUGAAAUUUUUGGGCUCAACCCAAACAGGUCAUUGGAAACUGUUAGACUUGAGAGCAGGAGAGGUAAGUGGAAUUCCUAGUGUAGCGGUGAAAUGCGUAGAGAUUAGGAGGAACACCAGUGGCGAAGGCGGCUUACUGGACUGCAUCUGACACUGAGGCUCGAAAGCGUGG
rnacentral:rRNA from 1 species